ACUUAAGCAUAUCAAUAAGCGGAGGAAAAGAAACCAACAGGGAUUGCCUCAGUAACGGCGAGUGAAGCGGCAACAGCUCAAAUUUGAAAUCUGGCCUCUGGCCCGAGUUGUAAUUUGCAGAGGAUGUUUCUGGCGAGGUGCCUUCCGAGUUCCCUGGAACGGGACGCCAUAGAGGGUGAGAGCCCCGUACGGUUGGUCGCUAAGCCUCUGUGAAACUCCUUCGACGAGUCGAGUAGUUUGGGAAUGCUGCUCUAAAUGGGAGGUGUACGCCUUCUUAAGCUAAAUACCGGCUAGAGACCGAUAGCGCACAAGUAGAGUGAUCGAAAGAUGAAAAGCACUUUGAAAAGAGGGUUAAAAAGUACGUGAAAUUGUUGAAAGGGAAGCGCUCUUGACCAGACUUGCGCCGGUUGAUCAUCCGCCGUUCUCGGUGGUGCACUCUGCCGGCUCAGGCCAGCAUCAGUUCGGCCCGGGGGAUAAAGGCUUCGGGAAUGUGGCUCUCUCCGGGGAGUGUUAUAGCCCGUUGCGUAAUACCCUGGGCUGGACUGAGGUUCGCGCAUCUGCAUGGAUGCUGGCGUAAUGGUUAUCAGUGACCCGUCUUGAAACACGGACCAAGGAGUCGUCUUCGUAUGCGAGUGUUCGGGUGUCAAACCCCUACGCGUAAUGAAAGUGAACGUAGGAGAGAGCUUCGGCGCAUCUCCGACCGAUCCUGAUGUUCUCGGAUGGAUUUGAGUAAGAGCAUACGGGGCCGGACCCGAAAGAAGGUGAACUAUGCCUGUAUAGGGUGAAGCCAGAGGAAACUCUGGUGGAGGCUCGCAGCGGUUCUGACGUGCAAAUCGAUCGUCAAAUAUGGGCAUGGGGGCGAAAGACUAAUCGAACCUUCUAGUAGCUGGUUUCCGCCGAAGUUUCCCUCAGGAUAGCAGUGUUGAACUCAGUUUUAUGAGGUAAAGCGAAUGAUUAGGGACCCGGGGGCGCUAUAUAGCCUUCAUCCAUUCUCANACUUUAAAUAUGUAAGAAGCUCUUGUUGCUUAAUUGAACGUGGGCAUUC
rnacentral:rRNA from 1 species